rnacentral:rRNA from 1 species
AGAGUUUGAUCCUGGCUCAGGAUGAACGCUAGCGGCAGGCUUAACACAUGCAAGUCGAGGGGUAAGGUUCUGCUUGCAGAACACACGACCGGCGCACGGGUGCGUAACGCGUAUGCAACCUACCUUUAACUGGGGAAUAGCUCUCGGAAACGGGAAUUAAUACCCCAUAACAUUUCAAAAUCGCAUGGUUUUGAGAUUAAAGCUCCGGCGGUUAAAGAUGGGCAUGCGUGACAUUAGCUUGUUGGUGAGGUAAUAGCUCACCAAGGCUACGAUGUCUAGGGGGUCUGAGAGGAUGAUCCCCCACACUGGUACUGAGACACGGACCAGACUCCUACGGGAGGCAGCAGUGAGGAAUAUUGGGCAAUGGACGCAAGUCUGACCCAGCCAUGCCGCGUGCAGGAUGAAUGCCCUAUGGGUUGUAAACUGCUUUUAUUUGGGAAGAAACCCACGCUCGUGAGCGUGGCUGACGGUACCAAAAGAAUAAGCAUCGGCUAACUCCGUGCCAGCAGCCGCGGUAAUACGGAGGA